CACUGGUCGAGAGCUGACGCCGCUCUUCUGAUGAAUCCAAGGCAGAACGAAAUCAGUG
rnacentral:sRNA from 1 species